GCGAGAGAGAGAGAGAGAGAGAGAGAGAGAGAGAGAGAGAGAGAGAGAGAGAGAGAGAGAGAGAGAGAGAGAGAGAGAGAGAGAGAGAGAGAGCGCGAGAGAGAGAGAGAGAGAGAGAGAGAGAGAGAGAGAGAGAGAGAGAAUGGACUCUAGGGCUAGGGGAGGCUGCACACCUGUUGCUCGUUGACCAAUCAGUGAUCAACAGGUUGAACCAGCCAUCAGAACAGGGCGACCGUCUCCUCUAUAAAUAGUGCCCUUUCCCUCUCGGAUUUCUUCUUUCUGCUGCUCUCAUCGCUCAGAGGUACGUGACCAAAUGCCAUGAGAGGCAAGUGGAAGAAGAAGCGUAUGCGCAGACUGAAGCGUAAGAGGAGAAAGAUGAGGCAAAGAUCAAAGUAGACGCUGGUCCCAGCAGCAGCAGCGGUGUUCCUGUGUGGUGAUGCGCUGAGCGGCCAGGAGUCCACAGCAGCCUGGAGCCGAUCUUAAAGAGGAUAAUGCCCAGUGCUGGAUGACACCCCUGAUCCUUGACCAGCGGCUGUAGAUCUCUGGGACAAACCAAUCUUUACAGCAGACAAUCUUUACAGCAGAACCAGUGCUGUUUAACGCAAUAAUAAAUUAUGGUUACCACAACUUGAUUUGUGUCAUGCUUGGUCGUUAAGGUGGAUGUCAAAUGAGAUUUAUUGGUGAUUAACUGGUUGUACUAUGCACAAAUGAUUAAUGACUAUAAUCCUACCGUUCCAUAUUACUCUGUUGCUUCAUAAAAACAUGCCUGCUCACCCUAGCGGGCAGUGUUCUACAUACUAGAAAAUGCAUUUCCUGCAGGAAGAGUGCUGUAUUGCAAAGUGAGCCAUAAAGAAACGUCAAAUGGCUUAAAUCAAUUGAAGGGAUUUGAACAAAAGUCUAAAUGGAGUAAACAAUGUAAAUAUGCAUAUUAAGAAAAAGUAACUGGUAGGAAAAAAAAGUGCCCGCUGAACGAAAAGUGCAAAGCAUUGCAAAAAAUGUACAAUUAAUUGAACUGAAGAAUCUGAAAUGUCAAAUAUAUUGCCCUGCAC
ensembl:lncRNA